ACGAACGCUGGCGGCGUGCUUAACACAUGCAAGUCGAACGGUGAUGGCCAGCUUGCUGGUCUGAUCAGUGGCGAACGGGUGAGUAACACGUGAGCAACCUGCCCUAGACUCUGGAAUAACCAUGGGAAACGAUGGCUAAUACCGGAUACGAGACGCACACGCAUGUGUGGCGUCUGGAAAGAUUUAUCGGUCUGGGAUGGGCUCGCGGCCUAUCAGCUUGUUGGUGGGGUAGUGGCCUACCAAGGCGACGACGGGUAGCCG
rnacentral:rRNA from 1 species